rnacentral:rRNA from 1 species
CACGACCGGCGCACGGGUGAGUAACGCGUAUGCAACCUACCUUUGGCACGGGGACAGCACGGGGAAACCCGGAUUAAUACCCGGUAUAGUCUGUUAUACACCUGUAUAAAAGACGAGAGCUACGGCGGCCAAAGAUGGGCAUGCGUGCCAUUAGUUAGUUGGUAGGGUAACGGCCUACCAAGGCAUCGAUGGCUACGGGGUCUAAAAGGAUGAGCCCGCACACUGGUACUGAGACACGGACCAGACUCCUACGGGAGGCAGCAGUGAGGAAUAUUGGUCAAUGGGUGGAAGCCUGAACCAGCCAUGCCGCGUGCAGGAAGACGGCCUUAUGGGUUGUAAACUGCUUUUCUACGGGACGAACGGCUCUGACGUGUCAGAGAUUGACGGUACCGUAGGAAUAAGCAUCGGCUAACUCCGUGCCAGCAGCCGCGGUAAUACGGAGGAUGCGAGCGUUAUCCGGAUUUAUUAGGUUUAAAGGGUGCGUAGGCUGGGCAAUAAGUCAGUGGUGAAAGUCCGCGGCUCAACCGUGGGAUUGCCCAUUGAAACUGUUGUUCUUGAGUACAGUCGAGGUAGGCGGAAUGUGUAAUGUAGCGGUGAAAUGCCUAGAUAUUACCCAGAACACCGAUUGCGUAGGGCAGCUUACCAGCCUGGAACUGACGCUGAUGCACGAAAGCGUGGGGAGCGGAACAGGAUUAGAUACCCUGGUAGUCCACGCCGUAAACGAUGAUCACUCGC